rnacentral:rRNA from 1 species
GGAAUUGCUCUAGUAACGGCGAGUGAAGCAGCAAUAGCUCAAAUUUGAAAUCUGGCGUCUUCGACGUCCGAGUUGUAAUUUGUAGAGGAUGCUUCUGAGUAACCACCGACCUAAGUUCCUUGGAACAGGACGUCAUAGAGGGUGAGAAUCCCGUAUGCGGUCGGAAAGGUGCUCUAUACGUAGCUCCUUCGACGAGUCGAGUUGUUUGGGAAUGCAGCUCUAAAUGGGAGGUAAAUUUCUUCUAAAGCUAAAUAUUGGCCAGAGACCGAUAGCGCACAAGUAGAGUGAUCGAAAGAUGAAAAGCACUUUGGAAAGAGAGUUAAAAAGCACGUGAAAUUGUUAAAAGGGAAGGGAUUGCAACCAGACUUGCUCGCGGUGUUCCGCCGGUCUUCUGACCGGUCUACUCGCCGCGUUGCAGGCCAGCAUCGUCUGGUGCCGCUGGAUAAGACUUGAGGAAUGUAGCUCCCUCGGGAGUGUUAUAGCCUCUUGUGAUGCAGCGAGCGCCGGGCGAGGUCCGCGCUUCGGCUAGGAUGCUGGCGUAAUGGUCGUAAUCCGCCCGUCUUGAAACACGGACCAAGGAGUCUAACAUCUAUGCGAGUGUUCGGGUGUCAAACCCCUACGCGUAAUGAAAGUGAACGGAGGUGAGAACCGCAAGGUGCAUCAUCGACCGAUCCUGAUGUCUUCGGAUGGAUUUGAGUAAGAGCAUAGCUGUUGGGACCCGAAAGAUGGUGAACUAUGCCUGAAUAGGGUGAAGCCAGAGGAAACUCUGGUGGAGGCUCGCAGCGGUUCUGACGUGCAAAUCGAUCGUCAAAUUUGAGUAUAGGGGCGAAAGACUAAUCGAACCAUCUAGUAGCUGGUU